rnacentral:rRNA from 1 species
UACGUAGGGUGCAAGCGUUGUCCGGAAUUAUUGGGCGUAAAGAGCUCGUAGGCGGUCUGUCGCGUCGGCUGUGAAAACUCGGGGCUCAACCCCGGGCCUGCAGUCGAUACGGGCAGACUAGAGUGUGGUAGGGGAGACUGGAAUUCCUGGUGUAGCGGUGGAAUGCGCAGAUAUCAGGAGGAACACCGGUGGCGAAGGCGGGUCUCUGGGCCAUAACUGACGCUGAGGAGCGAAAGCGUGGGGAGCGAACAGG